rnacentral:rRNA from 1 species
GGAGAGUUUUGAUCCUGGCUCAGGACGAACGCUGGCGGCGUGCCUAAUACAUGCAAGUCGAGCGGACAGAUGGGAGCUUGCUCCCUGAUGUUAGCGGCGGACGGGUGAGUAACACGUGGGUAACCUGCCUGUAAGACUGGGAUAACUCCGGGAAACCGGGGCUAAUACCGGAUGGUUGUUUGAACCGCAUGGUUCAAACAUAAAAGGUGGCUUCGGCUACCACUUACAGAUGGACCCGCGGCGCAUUAGCUAGUUGGUGAGGUAAUGGCUCACCAAGGCAACGAUGCGUAGCCGACCUGAGAGGGUG